CCUACGGGAGGCUGCAGUGGGGAAUAUUGGACAAUGGGGGCAACCCUGAUCCAGCCAUGCCGCGUGUGUGAAGAAGGCCCUCGGGUUGUAAAGCACUUUCAGUGAGGAAGAACGCCUGGUGGUUAAUACCCAUCAGGAAAGACAUCACUCACAGAAGAAGCACCGGCUAACUCCGUGCCAGCAGCCGCGGUAAUACGGAGGGUGCGAGCGUUAAUCGGAAUUACUGGGCGUAAAGCGCGCGUAGGUGGCUUGAUAAGCCGGUUGUGAGAGCCCCGGGCUCAACCUGGGAACGGCAUCCGGAACUGUCAAGCUAGAGUGCAGGAGAGGAAGGUAGAAUUCCCGGUGUAGCGGUGAAAUGCGUAGAGAUCGGGAGGAAUACCAGUGGCGAAGGCGGCCUUCUGGACUGACACUGACACUGAGGUGCGAAAGCGUGGGUAGCAAACAGGAUUAGAUACCCUUGUAGUC
rnacentral:rRNA from 1 species